rnacentral:rRNA from 1 species
UACGUAGGGUGCAAGCGUUGUUCGGAAUUACUGGGCGUAAAGGGCGCGUAGGCGGCCUGCUAAGUCGAACGUGAAAUCCCUGGGCUCAACCCAGGAACUGCGUCCGAUACUGGUUGGCUUGAAUCCGGGAGAGGGAUGUGGAAUUCCUGGUGUAGCGGUGAAAUGCGCAGAUAUCAGGAGGAACACCAGUGGCGAAGGCGGCACUCUGGGCCGGUACUGACGCUGAGGAGCGAAAGCGUGGGGAGCGAACAGG